rnacentral:rRNA from 1 species
GAUGAACGCUGGCGGUAUGCUUAACACAUGCAAGUCGAACGGACUCUUCGGAGUUAGUGGCGGACGGGUGAGUAACGCGUGAGAAUCUGGCUUUGGGUUCGGGACAACCACUGGAAACGGUGGCUAAUACCGGAUGUGCCGAGAGGUAAAACAGAAAUUGCCUGAAGAUGAGCUCGCGUCUGAUUAGCUAGUUGGUGAGGUAAAGGCUCACCAAGGCAGCGAUCAGUAGCUGGUCUGAGAGGAUGACCAGCCACACUGGGACUGAGACACGGCCCAGACUCCUACGGGAGGCAGCAGUGGGGAAUUUUCCGCAAUGGGCGAAAGCCUGACGGAGCAGUACCGCGUGAGGGAAGAAGGCUCUUGGGUUGUAAACCUCUUUUCUUAGGGAAGAACAAAAUGACGGUACCUAAGGAAUCAGCAUCGGCUAACUCCGUG